rnacentral:lncRNA from 1 species
ACUAGUGCUGGGAAUAGGUGAAAAACCACGGAAGCACUUCAAAGAUAAGAGAGAUAUCACCCUAUCUUGCUAGGGAGAUGGCCCUGGGCCCCUCUAUUUUUGCUAUAGUCUAGGAGGCUCAACAGAAGACUCAGUCAUGGGUCCCAACUUGCAGUUGGGCCCUGGAGCCUGGCCUCCUAUCCCUCCAAAAUACUGAGGCCUGACAGGACCUGAAGUCUUGUUUCCCCUCCUGAGCUAUCGCCCACACACUGAGAGGCAUCAUCAGAGUACCCACUUGGUGCUGGCCUGGAAGGAUGUGCAAACGAGACCCCCACUGCCCCAUCUCUCAUCAAGCGCUGCUCUUCCUGGGGCAGCCGAGUACCUCUCCUCCCAGGCAUCAUUACCACCUAUUCUCUGAAGACCCCUCGGCCCAGACUUCUCCCUGGUUCUCAGUCCCCCUUCUGCCUCUGUCUUGACUCUUAUUUCCUGCUUCAGCAAUUUUACCCUCUCUCUAUCUUCCUCUUGCACAUUUUUCCUCUAAGUCUG